rnacentral:rRNA from 1 species
AACGAACGCUGGCGGCAUGCCUAACACAUGCAAGUCGAACGAGACCUCCGGGCCUUGUGGCGCACGGGUGCGUAACGCCUGGGAACCUGCCCUUAGGUUCGGAAUCACUCCCCGAAAGGGAUCCUAAUACCGCAUAAUGUCUUCCGACCAAAGAUUUCUGGCUUUUGGGUGGGCCCGCGUUGGAUUCGGCGGUUGGUAGGGUAAAAGCCUGCCAUGGCGUCGAUCCAUAGCUGGUGGGAGAGGAAGCUCAUCCACACUGGGAAUGAGGCCCGGCCCAGACUCGGACGGGAGGCAGCAGUAGGGAAUAUUGGAGAAGGGGCGAAAGCCUGAUACAGCAAUGCCGCGGGAGUGAUGAAGGCCGUAGGGUUGUAAAGCUCUUUUUCCCGGGAUGAUAAUGACAGUACCGGGAGAAGAAGCUCCGGCUAACUCCGUG